UCUGAGCCAGAACCGCGAACCGUUCAACAUGCUCUAAAGGAUAAGCGGUGGAGGGGCGUAAUGGGCUCCGAAUUAAAUGCUCAAAGUGGUUACCACACAUGGGAUUUGGUUUCUCAACCACCUGCAGGUACCACAGUCAUUUGUUGUCGUUGUAUAUUUACAAAGAAAUUCAAUUUUGUCAGAGCAUCAAUCGGUUCAAAGCACGACUUGUUGAGAAGGGGUACAAAAAGUCCGGACACCUUAACGGAGGAAAUACAGCCACCCGGUUUUGUUGACCAGGAUAAACCUAACCAUGUGUGUCAUCUUCAUCGUGCUCUCUAUGGUGUCAAGUAGGCUCCAAGGGCUUGGUAUAGUGAGCUGCGAAAUUACUUGCAACACUCUUGAUGCUUUGGCUCAACGGUUCUCUUUUAAAGAUCCUGAGGAUCUCUAUUAUUUCCUCGGCAUUGAAGCUCGGCGUGUCCCUUCUGGCCUUAACCUGAGUCAACGCAAAUAUAUUAUUGAUCUUCUCACUCGAACGAAUAUGCUUGCGUCGAAACCUGUCUCCACACCAAUCGUAUCCUCUCCGACUCUCACUUGGUAUUUUGGCACCCGAUAGUCAGAUCCGACGGAGUAUAGAGGUAUUGUGGGUAGCUUGCAAUAUUUAGCCUUCACGCGACCAGACCUGUCCUAUGCGUUGAACCGACUGUCCUAAUAUAUGCAUGCUCCAACGACAGAUCAUUGGCAAGCUGUGAAAUGUUUGCUUCGGUACUUAGCAGGCACAAUUCAUCAUGGCAUCUUUUUGUGCAAAGGUAACAAGGUUUCUUUAAAGUCUUUCUCUGAUGCAGACUAGGCUGGUGACAAAGAUGAUUAUACCUCUACCAAUGGUUAUCUUGUGUAUCUUGGACAUCAUCCCGUCUUGUGGUCUUCCAAGAAGCAGAAGGGGGUUGCUCGUUCCUCGACAGAAGCAGAGUAUAGGGCGGUUGCUAACACUUCAGCUGAAAUUAAUGGAUUUGUUCUCUUCUUCAGGAAUUGGGCAUCUGUUUACCAAUUGUACCAGUCAUUUAUUGUGAUAAUGUAGGUGCAACCUACUUGUGUGCCAAUCCUUUUUUUCACUCACGGAUGAAGCACAUUGGUUUAGAUUAUCAUUUCAUACGAGAUCAAGUUCAGUCCGGAGCAUUCUGUGUC